rnacentral:rRNA from 1 species
AACGAACGCUGGCGGCAUGCCUAAUACAUGCAAGUCGAACGAUCACUUCGGUGGUAGUGGCGCACGGGUGCGUAACGCGUGGGAAUCUGCCCUUGGGUUCGGAAUAACAUCGGGAAACUGAUGCUAAUACCGGAUGAUGACGUAAGUCCAAAGAUUUAUCGCCCAGGGAUGAGCCCGCGUAGGAUUAGGUAGUUGGUGGGGUAAAGGCCUACCAAGCCUACGAUCCUUAGCUGGUCUGAGAGGAUGAUCAGCCACACUGGAACUGAGACACGGCCCAGACUCCUCCGGGAGGCAGCAGUAGGGAAUAUUGGACAAUGGGGGCAACCCUGAUCCAGCAACGCCGCGUGAGUGAUGAAGGCCUUAGGGUUGUAAAGCUCUUUUACCCGGGAUGAUAAUGACAGUACCGGGAGAAUAAGCCCCGGCUAACUCCGUGCCAGCCGCCGCGGUAAUAC